rnacentral:rRNA from 1 species
UACGAAGGGGGCUAGCGUUACUCGGAAUUACUGGGCGUAAAGCGCGCGUAGGCGGUUUUUCAAGUCAGGGGUGAAAUCCCAGAGCUUAACUCUGGAAUUGCCUUUGAAACUGUAAGACUGGAGUCCGGAAGAGGAUGGUAGAAUUCCUAGUGUAGAGGUGAAAUUCGUAGAUAUUAGGAGGAAUACCAGUGGCGAAGGCGGCCAUCUGGUCCGGUACUGACGCUGAGGCGCGAAAGCGUGGGGAUCAAACAGG